rnacentral:rRNA from 1 species
UCGUUGUAGCAAUACGAUGGAAAGUCUAGUGGCGAACGGGUGCUUAACACGUGGGCAACCUGCCAAGAAGUGGGGGAUAGCUCGCCGAAAGGCGAAUUAAUACCGCAUGUGAUUAGAGAGGACAUCCUUUCGAAAUUAAAGUCGGGGCAACCUGACGCUUUUUGUGGGGCCCGCGGCCUAUCAGCUAGUUGGUGAGGUAACGGCCCACCAAGGCUUUGACGGGUAGCUGGUCUGAGAGGACGACCAGCCACACUGGGACUGAGACACGGCCCAGACACCUACGGGUGGCAGCAGUCGAGAAUUUUUGACAAUGGGGGAAACCCUGAUCGAGCGACGCCGCGUGGAGGAUGAAGGUCUUCGGAUUGUAAACUCCUGUCAUUGGGGAACAAGGUGCAUACGUUAACUGCGUGUGCAUUGAUAGUACCCGAAGAGGAAGAGACGGCUAACUCUGUGCCAGCAGCCGCGGUAAUACAGAGGUCUCGAGCGUUGUUCGGAUUCAUUGGGCGUAAAGGGCGCGUAGGCGGCGGGGUAAGUCUGGUGUGAAAUCUAGGAGCUCAACUCCUAAACUGCACUGGAUACUGCUUUGCUAGAGGACUGGAGAGGAGACUGGAAUUCACGGUGUAGCA